rnacentral:lncRNA from 1 species
AAUUAAUUUUGCAAUUAUCUUUAAGAUAUAAUUACCUAUAUAUCCCUCAAAACUUCUAAAAUAUUUUAUAUACCCCUACAUUCUUUUUGUUUCAAAUAUACUCCUCGUAUAUUUCUAUGCUAUUCAAAAAUAACUCCGCUGUUAGUAUCCGUUAAGUUAUCUUCGAUUAAAUCUGAGUUAAAAUUUCUAUCAGAAUUAAAAAUAAGUCAAAAUAUCUUUUUUGACCCUAACUCAAGGAUAAAUAAGAAAAAUUAGUGACGGUAUAAUAUAUAUUUGAAAGGGUAAAAGAUCAAAAUAUUUCUUUAGUCUCUAACUUAAAGAUAAUAUAAAAAAUUGGUAAUUAUAGAAGAGUAUAUUUAAAAGAGCAAAAUAGUAAUUUUAUAAAAAUUAAGGUUAUUUAUAAUAUAGUUAACUAAUAGAAUCUAACUUAGAAGUAUCUUUGAAAGAAUUUAGAAUGUUGAGAAAAAUACUUCUUAUAUUAAUCUUCUAAACAGGAUAAAUAAAAAAAUUUAAAAUUUUUCAGAGAUAUGUAAGCAAUUGUUCUUAUUUUAAAAGCCAAUGAUCCAUACAUAAAUUUUCGGAUAAACUUCAAAUACCACCCUAUGAUUUCGCAUUUUCUCACUUUAGUACCCUAUAAUUUAAAGUGUAUCAAUUUAGUACCCUAUAAUUUUAUUUUUCUCUUUUCGUCAGUGUUAAAUCACAUGCAAAAAAAUUCAGAUAUUCCACCUAUAGUUUAUUGAAUAUUUAUUUUUAUAUCAUUUAGUUUUAAUAUUGUCAUUGAUUUAACGAAAAAAAUUAAUGAAGAGAUAACAAAAAGAGAAAAAUAAAAUUAUAGAGUGUACGAAAGUGAUACACUUUAAACUAUAAAAUACUAAAGUGAGAAAGUGUGAACUGCAGGGGUGGGGUUUAAAGUUUUUUCUAAAUUUUCCAAUAGAUUUGG